rnacentral:piRNA from 1 species
CUGUGUUUGUGCUGUGACUCA